rnacentral:tRNA from 1 species
AGGGAUGUAGGCUCAGCAGGCACAGCACCUGCCUGGCAAGCAUGAGAUCAUGAGUUCGAUUCCCGGCACCCCUC